GGCGAACGCUGGCGGCGUGCUUAACACAUGCAAGUCGAACGGAAAGGCCCUGCUUUUGUGGGGUGCUCGAGUGGCGAACGGGUGAGUAACACGUGAGUAACCUGCCCUUGACUUUGGGAUAACUUCAGGAAACUGGGGCUAAUACCGGAUAGGAGCUCCUGCUGCAUGGUGGGGGUUGGAAAGUUUCGGCGGUUGGGGAUGGACUCGCGGCUUAUCAGCUUGAUGGUGGGGUAGUGGCUUACCAAGGCUUUGACGGGUAGCCGGCCUGAGAGGGUGACCGGCCACAUUGGGACUGAGAUACGGCCCAGACUCCUACGGGAGGCAGCAGUGGGGAAUAUUGCACAAUGGGCGGAAGCCUGAUGCAGCAACGCCGCGUGCGGGAUGACGGCCUUCGGGUUGUAAACCGCUUUCGCCUGUGACGAAGCGUGAGUGACGGUAAUGGGUAAAGAAGCACCGGCUAACUACGUG
rnacentral:rRNA from 1 species